CAGAGUAUUACGCUCCGUAAACCCACUGUGAAUUUAUCUAAGUUAUUGUUUCUUUGGCAGGCGGACCCUGGGAGGGACCUUUAAGCCGGCAACGGUGCCUUGCCAAAGGGACGCCAAAUUCUAGCGUUUAAGUUGUCUGAGCUUCUAUAAAAUAAGUUA
rnacentral:misc_RNA from 1 species